rnacentral:rRNA from 1 species
UAACUCUGUGCAAUGGAGCACACGGCUCAUGCAUCGAUGAAGCCCGCGGCAAAAAGCGAUAUGUAAUGAGAUUCGUUAGCCUCGAGAUUCAUCAAAUUGGUGAACACAGACUGGACCUCUUCGGAGGUACUUGCGUUAGAGUGCUAGUUUUAUAUCAGUUGAUCCUGGUGAAAGGU